rnacentral:rRNA from 1 species
UUACGGGAGGCAGCAGUGGGGAAUCUUGGACAAUGGGGGAAACCCUGAUCCAGCGAUGCCGCGUGAGUGAUGAAGGCCUUCGGGUUGUAAAACUCUUUUACCCGGGAAGAUAAUGACUGUACCGGGAGAAUAAGCUCCGGCUAACUUCGUGCCAGCAGCCGCGGUAAUACGAAGGGGGCUAGCGUUGUUCGGAAUUACUGGGCGUAAAGCGCGCGCAGGCGGCCAUUCAAGUCAGGGGUGAAAGCCCAGAGCUCAACUCUGGAACUGCCUUUGAAACUGUAUGGCUUGAGUAUGAGAGAGGUGAGUGGAAUUCCCAGUGUAGAGGUGAAAUUCGUAGAUAUUGGGAAGAACACCGGUGGCGAAGGCGGCUCACUGGCUCAUUACUGACGCUCAGGCGCGACAGCGUGGGGAUCAAACAGGAUUAGAUACCCUGGU